rnacentral:rRNA from 1 species
GUAGGUGGCAAGCGUUGUCCGGAAUUAUUGGGGCGUAAAGCGCGCGCAGGCGGUUCUUUAAGUCUGAUGUGAAAGCCCACGGGCUCAACCGUGGAGGGUCAUUGGAAACUGGAGAACUUGAGUACAGAAGAGGAAAGCGGAAUUCCACGUGUAGCGGUGAAAUGCGUAGAGAUGUGGAGGAACACCAGUGGCGAAGGCGGCUUUCUGGUCUGUAACUGACGCUGAGGCGCGAAAGCGUGGGGAGCAAACAGGGAUUAGAUACCCUGGUAGUCCACGCCGUAAACGAUGAGUGCUAAGUGUUAGGGGGUUUCCGCCCCUUAGUGCUGCAGCUAACGCAUUAAGCACUCCGCCUGGGGAGUACGGCCGCAAGGCUG